GCCAUGGAUCGGAGUGAACGGGUGAUUACAGUUGCACCCAGGAAAGUCCCCGGGCCCGAAUGCAGAGAUGCAUCCCUGGAAACAGGAGCCAUUUCGAGUGGAGGUUCACCCGUCUACUGCGGGGAUCUGAGACGUGUGUGGAGAUCCUUUGAACCUUACGCCGAAAUGAUUUGGCCGUCAACUCACAGUUAUUCACUCUGUCCGCAUCGUGGACUAACUGAACGGGGCUUACGAUCUCAUGG
rnacentral:RNase_MRP_RNA from 1 species